GAUGAACGCUGGCGGCGUGCCUAAUACAUGCAAGUCGAGCGAACAGACGAGGAGCUUGCUCCUCUGACGUUAGCGGCGGACGGGUGAGUAACACGUGGAUAACCUACCUAUAAGACUGGGAUAACUUCGGGAAACCGGAGCUAAUACCGGAUAACAUGUUGAACCACAUGGUUCAACAGUGAAAGACGGUUUUGCUGUCACUUAUAGAUGGAUCCGCGCCGCAUUAGCUAGUUGGUAAGGUAACGGCUUACCAAGGCAACGAUGCGUAGCCGACCUGAGAGGGGGAUCGGCCACACUGGAACUGAGACACGGUCCAGACUCCUACGGGAGGCAGCAGUAGGGAAUCUUCCGCAAUGGGCGAAAGCCUGACGGAGCAACGCCGCGUGAGUGAAGAAGGUCUUCGGAUCGUAAAACUCUGUUAUUAGGGAAGAACAAAUGUGUAAGUAACUAGGCACGUCUUGACGGUACCUAAUCAGAAAGCCACGGCUAACUACGUG
rnacentral:rRNA from 1 species